rnacentral:rRNA from 1 species
UACGAAGGGGGCUAGCGUUGCUCGGAAUCACUGGGCGUAAAGGGUGCGUAGGCGGUCUGAUAAGUCAUCUGUGAAAUCUAUGGGCUCAACCCAUAGUCUGCAGGCGAAACUGUCGGGCUUGAGUAUGGGAGAGGUGAGUGGAAUUUCCGGUGUAGCGGUGAAAUGCGUAGAUAUCGGAAGGAACACCUGUGGCGAAAGCGGCUCACUGGACCAUUACUGACGCUGAUGCACGAAAGCUAGGGGAGCAAACAGG